UGAAACAGAGAGAACCUGUCCGAGGCCUGGGAAGGACAGGGCCGAUCGGGGACACCCCAGGACAGGAGCCAGGAGGAGCACUGUGCCAGAGAGGAACUGCCGCGAAGGACAGGCCGGAGCUGGACCCAGUAUCACUGCUGCCCAGAGUUGCAUGGGGCUCAAGGAUCUUUCUAACAGCUGGACAGAGACAGUGACAUCAUCACUUGGCCUCUCUCUCUCCCCACCCCAACUCAACACCUGGAAGGAUGUCUGGAGGACAAAGACUUUGAACUGAGGAAGUUUGGUCCCAAGCGGGAAGGUAGUUCCAGCCUUGUACCAUUUGUCAGGGUUGAUAACAUCUAGAAUAAAAGGACUGGAGAUUUCAGGGCCACAGCUGUCGUAGAAGGGCAAUCAAGAAACUGUACCAUGCAGCUAUUGAUACACACUGCUCUCUCAGCUCCAUCAUCAUCGUCCUACUUUUGGAAGAGGCAAAAAUGGGUUAUGGAAAUAAACCAGGACAUGUAAAGUUGCUGGGGAGAGAAUGCCUUGGAGGCACAUUAUGUUAUAGAAACAAGCUGACGUUCACAGAAAGCAGAAGAGGAAAUGGAUAACUGAAAGCGGAGGAGCCUGGACUCAAUGAGAGAAGAAAUCAUGGUGUUCUCCUAAUUUUAUUUACCUUGAAACAGAAGAGCUUUGAUAUGGCAUAGUUUUGUAACUUGGAACUUUGUUUUUAUUUUUGUUUGGCAAUCUAAUCUCCCAGUGACAAGUACACAUUUUCUAACAUAUUUGAUGAACCUUGAGUCUUCAGACUAGUAAACAAAUUUCCACAAACAAACCACCUGAAAAAGUAUAUAUAAACUGGCAAUACUGCUAGAGAAUAAGAAAUAUGUAACCCAUUUUCCUAUAUAUUUU